rnacentral:lncRNA from 1 species
UCAUACAAGUCCUGUGCAUGUUUUGGUAGGUUUCCAACUAAGUAUUUCACUUUUUGAGCAAGUAUUGAUAACAUUGAAUCUCAAAUUUGUGUGUUUAUGUGUUCUUGCAUGCAUGUGUACGUGCAUGCACACACAUGCAUGUUCACACACACACACAAACACACACACUUACUUGAUUUUGGUAUGUUUACCUUGUGUCCUAAAAAAUCUAUGGCAAUGAUAUGUGUAAGUGCAGAAGUCCUGUCUUUGACUCUAAGCUUCAUCUUUCCCUUUUCUUACUGAUUGGUUGGGCGACUACUUGAUCCGUUCAUUCUUUCAUUUAGCAAACAGUCACUGGAUGGCCACCCUGUCCAUAGUUCUUUGUUAGGUACCUCUGUUAAUUUGGAGUUAAAAAAGACAGGACCUUUGAUCUCAUACAGUAGCAAAAAAAAAAAAAAAAAAGCAAUGCAGACAACCACCUGUAAUACUAAUCAUGGCAAAAUAAGCAUUGUUCUAGAGAGAAAACCUGUGUGUGGUGAGAAUGCAAAGGAAGAAACAGGUAAUUCUGACAGAGAGGACCCAGGAACACCUUCAUGAAAAAGAUAGACUUUGUGUGGAGUCGGGUUGUUACAUUUCAGAGGCAGACCAGUAAAGGACUCAGCGUGCACCCAGUCCUUGGAGCCCCGGGGCUGUUGGGCUUUGUGUGUGACAUAGGGGCCUGGGAACGUGAAACCAGCUUUGAUUGUGGGGUUCUUCAAUGCUCUGGUAUAAAGUUUGGACCUUGUUCUGCAGUAAAUAGGGAGCGACUUCAGGUUUCUAAACAGGAGGAGAACGCUGUUAUGCUGAUUUAGUCAAAGGAUUCUGGCGAUGAUGUCACAGAUAGAUUCAAAAGUGAGAAGGAGCCCAGUCCUUACGGAGGUUUAGGCCGAAGUGGAGAUGCAGCAUUGGGCUCUUUCAGAAGGGUCCAAACCAUCUGAAGGGCAGUGAGUGGCACAUAGCUGCUGCCUUUCAUCCAGACAGCGUUUCCUCCUUGUGAUGAGGAGGAGAUUAAAAUUCUCUGUUAUAGGAGAAUAAAACCUGGGCUUUUGAAAACAAAAAUGCAUUGUUUUCACUUACGAUUUCUAGCUUCUUUAAAAAUAAUAAAUGUAGAUUGUAAUUUUCUCUGAGUGAUGCGUCGCAUUCGUUAACCACUGCGCCAUGACGGGAACUCCUAUUCAAGAUUUUAAAUAUGCCACUAUCAUCAUCUUUACCAAUUAGAAUAAAAUUCCAUAAUUUUUGACACAUCAGAAAUACCAUAAAGGAAAUAGGAUCAGAUUUUGUUUUAAGUAGAACACACUCCCAUGCAGUGUCGUGGGUGCCUUGGGAUGCAAGCUUUCCAGGUUUCUGUGUGUGACCACGAGACACAUUCUCGCUUGAGACGUCACAGCCAGUUGUUUUCUUUUUAAAAUUAUGCUCUUUGUGUGUCUCUCUCUAGUGCUUAGAACAUCUGCCUUGUGUUAGAGUUAGUCUUUUGCUUAUUCAUCUCCCCAGUAGAUUGGAAGCCCUGGGGAUAGGCUUGUGACUUUUGUGCACUUAAUCCGAGAUCAUAUUGCCUAGCGUAGUGUGUUACACUUAAUCCUUGAUCAAUACACGUUAGCAAACCUGUCUACCUCCACUUCAUCUUCUUAGAGCACAGCAUCUUCAAAUUUUAUGCCAUUUUCAAAUCACCUGCAAAGACUUUUAGACAGUGAUUCAGCUAAUACUGUCUUUUAAAAAAAUCAUAGCAUUCCAGACUUUUUUUUUUUUUUUUACGGCCACACCCAUGGCAUAUGGAGGUUCCCAAGCUAGAGGUCUCACCAGAGCUACAACUGCCAGCCCAUGCCAGAGCCACAGCAAAGCUGGAUCCAAGCCACAUCUGUGACCUACACUAUAGCUCACGGCAACGCCAGAUCCUUAACCGACUGAGCGAGGCCAGGGAUGAAACCUGCAACCUCAUGGUUCCUUGUUGGUUGGAUUCAUUUCUGCUGCACCACGAUGGGAACUCCAGCAUUCCAGACUUUUAUUGCUGGAAAGAAUUUCUUAAAAGAUCACCAUGGCCAACUUCAUAUAUAAAGAUGGGGGAACAAGAAACUAGAGAGGUUAGUGACUUGCUCUAAAUCAUUAACUAGUUGGUAACAGCACUAAGUCAAAAGUAUAGGCCAAAGAACAUUUUUUUUUGGUCUUUUUAGGGGUGCACCUGUGGCAUAUGGAGGUUCCCAGGCUAGGGGUCUCAAAGUACUUUAGAAAGAGAUUAUUUUUCAUUUACUAAAACUGACUACUGCUUUCACAGUGAUUCGUGUCGGCUAAUUCAUCAUUAAUUCAACAAAUACGCAUUGGCGAUUUUUUAUGCAUAAAAUACAGUAUCAGGCUUUAGCAGUGAGGUCUAUGCAAGGACAAGCAUGUUUCUGAGAAGGAUCUUAAAUGCAGAGAUUAAAAAAGAAAACAUGGAUAAAGAAGACAUGGAGUUCCCAUUCUGGCUCAGCAGGUUAAGAACCCGACUAGUAUCCAUGAGGAUUUGGGUUCUAUCCCUGUCCUUGAUCAGUGGGUUGAGGAUCUGGCCUUGCCAUGAGCUGUGGUGUAGGUCACAGAUGUGGCUCAGAUCUGGCAUGGCUGUGGCUGUGGUGUAGGUCAGCAGGCAAAACUCCAAUUCAGCCCCUGGCCUGGGCACUUCCUUAUUCUGCAGGUGCAACCCUAAAAUUAAAACAAUUAAAAUUGAAAAACCGUAAUGCAAUUGUAGAACGGUAAUGAAAGGGGUGCAGAGAUGACCUGUGUGAGGCGGGGGUGGGAGGAACCCCUGAUGGCAGUAGAUGGAUCAGUAGCCCCCUUACCCUCGGUGCUGGGGCUGCUCUUACUUUGACAGCCUUUCUAUAAAACUAGGCAUUUCCCAGAAGGAAAAAAAAAAAA